rnacentral:rRNA from 1 species
GACGAACGCUGGCGGCGUGCUUAACACAUGCAAGUCGAACGGAAAGGCCCUGCUUUUGUGGGGUGCUCGAGUGGCGAACGGGUGAGUAACACGUGAGUAACCUGCCCUUGACUUUGGGAUAACUUCAGGAAACUGGGGCUAAUACCGGAUAGGAGCUCCUGCUGCAUGGUGGGGGUUGGAAAGUUUCGGCGGUUGGGGAUGGACUCGCGGCUUAUCAGCUUGUUGGUGGGGUAGUGGCUUACCAAGGCUUUGACGGGUAGCCGGCCUGAGAGGGUGACCGGCGACAUUGGGACUGAGAGACGGCCCAGACUCCUACGGGAGGCAGCAGUGGGGAAUAUUGCACAAUGGGCGGAAGCGUGAUGAAGCAACGCCGCGUGCGGGAUGACGGCCUUCGGGUUGUAAACCGCUUUCGCCUGUGACGAAGCGUGAGUGACGGUAAUGGGUAAAGAAGCACCGGCUAACUACGUG